GACGAACGCUGGCGGCGUGCUUAACACAUGCAAGUCGAACGGAAAGGCCCUGCUCUUGUGGGGUGCUCGAGUGGCGAACGGGUGAGUAACACGUGAGUAACCUGCCCUUGACUUUGGGAUAACUUCAGGAAACUGGGGCUAAUACCGGAUAGGAGCUCCUGCUGCAUGGUGGGGGUUGGAAAGUUUCGGCGGUUGGGGAUGGACUCGCGGCUUAUCAGCUUGUUGGUGGGGUAGUGGCUUACCAAGGCUUUGACGGGUAGCCGGCCUGAGAGGGUGACCGGCCACAUUGGGACUGAGAUACGGCCCAGACUCCUACGGGAGGCAGCAGUGGGGAAUAUUGCACAAUGGGCGGAAGCCUGAUGCAGCAACGCCGCGCGCGGGAUGACGGCCUUCGGGUUGUAAACCGCUUUCGCCUGUGACGAAGCGUGAGUGACGGUAAUGGGUAAAGAAGCACCGGCUAACUACGUG
rnacentral:rRNA from 1 species